GACGAACGCUGGCGGCGUGCUUAACACAUGCAAGUCGAACGGAAAGGCCCUGCUUUUGUGGGGUGCUCGAGUGGCGAACGGGUGUGUAACACGUGAGUAACCUGCCCUUGACUUUGGGAUAACUUCAGGAAACUGGGGCUAAUAACGGAUAGGAGCUCCUGCUGCAUGGUGGGGGUUGGAAAGUUUCGGCGGUUGGGGAUGGACUCGCGGCUUAUCAGCUUGUUGGUGGGGUAGUGGCUUACCAAGGCUUUGACGGGUAGCCUGCCUGAGAGGGUGGCCUGCCACAUUGGGACUGAGAUACGGCCCAGACUCCAACGGGAGGCAACGGUGGGGAAGAUUGCACAGUGGGCGGAAGCCAGAUGCAGCGACGCCGCGUGCGGGAUGACGGCCUUCGGGUUGUAAACCAAUUUCGCCUGUGACGAGGCGAGAGUGACGGUAAUGGGUAAAGAAGCACCGGCUAACUACGUG
rnacentral:rRNA from 1 species